rnacentral:rRNA from 1 species
UACGUAGGGGGCAAGCGUUGUCCGGAAUCAUUGGGCGUAAAGAGCGUGUAGGCGGCCCGGUAAGUCCGCUGUGAAAGUCCAGGGCUCAACCCUGGGAUGCCGGUGGAUACUGUCGGGCUCGAGUCCGGAAGAGGAGUGUGGAAUUCCUAGUGUAGCGGUGAAAUGCGCAGAUAUCAGGAGGAACACCAAUGGCGAAGGCAGCACUCUGGGACGUGACUGACGCUGAGACGCGAAAGCGUGGGGAGCAAACGGG